rnacentral:rRNA from 1 species
GGCUCAGGAUGAACGCUGGCGGCGUGCUUAACACAUGCAAGUCGAACGGGAUCCAAGAAGUGCUUGCACUUUUUGGUGAGAGUGGCGAACGGGUGAGUAACACGUGAGUAACCUGUCCUUUUCUUUGGGAUAAGCUUCCGAAAGGGUGUUUAAUACCUUAUGUUCUGUCUGCCUCGCAUGGGGUGGGUGGGAAAGAUUUUUUCGGUAAAGGGUGGGCUCGCGGUCUAUCAGCUUGUUGGUGGGGUGAUGGCCUACCAAGGCUUUGACGGGUAGCCGGCCUGAGAGGGUGGUCGGUCACAUUGGGACUGAGAUACGGCCCAGACUCCUGCGGGAGGCAGCAGUGGGGGAUAUUGCACAAUGGGCGAAAGCCUGAUGCAGCGACGCCGCGUGGGGGAUGAAGGCCUUCGGGUUGUAAACUUCUUUUGCUCUGAACAAGGCGCACCGUGGGGUGUGUUGAGUGUAGGGGUUGAUUAGCGCCGGCUAACUACGUGCCAGCAGCCGCGGUAAUACGUAGGGCGCGAGCGUUGUCCGGAAUUAUUGGGCGUAAAGGGCUUGUAGGUGGCUGGUUGCGUCUGUCGUGAAAGCUCAUGGCUUAACUGUGGGUUUGCGGUGGGUACGGGCUGGCUUGAGUGCAGUAGGGGAGGCUGGAAUUCCUGGUGUAGCGGUGGAAUGCGCAGAUAUCAGGAGGAAUACCGGUGGCGAAGGCGGGUCUCUGGGCUGUUACUGACACUGAGGAGCGAAAGCAUGGGGAGCGAACAGGAUUAGAUACCCUGGUAGUCCAUGCUGUAAACGGUGGGAACUGGGUGUGGGGGGCUUUUUUGUCUUCUGCGUCGUAGCUAACGCGUUAAGUUCCCCGCCU